AUGGCCUGGACCCCGCUCCUCCUGGGCCUCCUGGCUCACUGCACAGGGUCUGUAUCUUCCUAUGAGCUGAAUCAGUCGCCCUUGUUUUCUGUGAGCCCGGGAGGGGAGGCCAAGAUAACCUGUAGGGGAAGCAACAUUGGAAGCAAAAAUCUUUACUGGUACCAGCAGAAGCCAGGCCAGACCCCUGUGCUGGUUAUGAAGUAUAAUAACAACCGGCCCUCAGGGAUCCCUGACCGCUUCUCUGGCUCCAAGUCAGGGGACACGGCCACCCUGACCAUUAAGGGAGUGCGCACUGAGGACGAGGCCGACUAUUACUGCGCAGUAGAGGAUGGCAGUGGGAGCAGCUGGCAGUGA